UUGCAUCCGACAUUUUCGUCUCCCCCAAAGUAGUGAUUGAUUUUAUUGGUACAAUCUGAUUCUUGGCAGAUGUUGGCAGUGUUGUUGCGAUGCGAAAACAGCUGUUGUUUCACCUGAUUUUGAAGUAUUUCAUGGAACAAAUACUGGAGCAUUAUGGUUCAAGUUGCUGUUUGAGUUUGCUGCAGUUUCAUAUUUUCAGGACCAUUG
rnacentral:lncRNA from 1 species